rfam:Setaria italica strain Yugu1 chromosome V, whole genome shotgun sequence.
GGAUUUGAAGCGGAGCUCCCUUCGAUCCAAUGAAGGGUCCUUUUGAAGGGUGGUACAGCUGCUUGUUCAUGGUUCCCACUCUCCUAUCUCAUCAGCUCCGAGAGAGAGAGAGAGAUUGUGAGGGUGAGGUGAUUUGGUUUGAGAUAGGCUUGUGGUUUGCAUGACCGAGGAGCUGCAUCUUCCCCUUUGUGGCCGCUCUUUGGAUUGAAGGGAGCUCUGCAUCGAUCUCGA